GAAAUGCGAUAAGUAAUGUGAAUUGCAGAAUUCCGUGAAUCAUCGAAUCUUUGAACGCACAUUGUGCCCUCUGGCAUUCCGGGGGGCAUGCCUGUCCGAGCGUCAUUACGCACCCUCAAGCCCGGCUUGUGUGAUGGGCCCUGGCGUCUCGUUCGCGAGACGGGCCCGAAAGGCAGCGGCGGCGUCGACCCCAUGAGCCCGAGCGUAUGGGGACUUUUGUCACACGUUUGCGGUGCGGACCGGCGCCUGCUUGACUUUUCUGAUUAUCCAGGUUGACCUCGGAUCAGGUAGGGAUACCCGCUGAACUUAAGC
rnacentral:misc_RNA from 1 species